rnacentral:rRNA from 1 species
GACCCAGCGACGCCGCGUGCGGGAUGAAGGNNNUCGGGUUGUAAACCGCUUUCAGCAGGGAAGAAGCGAAAGUGACGGUACCUGCAGAAGAAGCACCGGCUAACUAUGUGCCAGCAGCCGCGGUAAUACAUAGGGUGCAAGCGUUGUCCGGAAUUAUUGGGCGUAAAGAGCUCGUAGGUGGUUCGUCACGUCGGAUGUGAAACUCUGGGGCUUAACCCCAGACCUGCAUUCGAUACGGGCGAGCUUGAGUAUGGUAGGGGAGUCUGGAAUUCCUGGUGUAGCGGUGGAAUGCGCAGAUAUCAGGAGGAACACCAAUGGCGAAGGCAGGACUCUGGGCCAUUACUGACACUGAGGAGCGAAAGCGUGGGGAGCGAACAGGAUUAGAUACCCUGGUAGUCCACGCCGUAAACGGUGGGCACUAGUUGUGGGGACCUUCCACGGUCUCUGCGACGCAGCUAACGCAUUAAGUGCCCCGCCUGGGGAGUACGAUCGCAAGAUUAAAACUCAAAGGAAUUGACGGGGCCCCGCACAAGCAGCGGAGCAUGCGGCUUAAUUCGACGCAACGCGAAGAACCUUACCAAGGCUUGACAUAUACAGGAAUAUGGCAGAGAUGUCAUAGCCGCAAGGUCUGUAUACAGGUGGUGCAUGGUUGUCGUCAGCUCGUGUCGCGAGAUGUUGGGUUAAGUCCCGCAACGAGCGCAACCCUCGUUCUGUGUUGCCAGCAUUAAGUUGGGGACUCACAGGAGACUGCCGGGGUUAACUCGGAGGAAGGU